GCGCCUGUAGCUCAGGUGGAUAGAGCGGCAGCCUUCUAAGCUGCGGGUCAGGGGUUCGAAUCCCUUCAGGCGCGCCA
rnacentral:tRNA from 1 species